UGGCUCUCGCAUCGAUGAAGAACGCAGCGAAAUGCGAUAAGUAAUGUGAAUUGCAGAAUUCAGUGAAUCAUCGAAUCUUUGAACGCACCUUGCGCCCCUUGGUAUUCCGAGGGGCACGCCUGUUUGAGUGUCGUGAAAUUCUCAACCCUCCUCCUUUAUUGGACUUGGGCUUGGACUUGGAGGCUUUGCCGGCUCCACCCCACCGCGAGGAAAGGUGGAUCGGCUCCUCUCGAAAGCAUUAGUGAGACCCCUUGCGGCCUCGGUGUGAUAAUUGUCUACGCCGUGGGCUUAGCUAUACGUGGGACCCGCUUCAAACCGUCCCUCCGUGGGACAGAUUUCUUUACGAACUUGACCUCAAAUCAGGCGGGACUACCCGCUGA
rnacentral:misc_RNA from 1 species